UACAGGGGGUGCAAGCGUUGCUCGGAAUUAUUGGGCGUAAAGCGCGCGUAGGCGGCCACUUAAGUCGGAUGUGAAAGCCCCUGGCUCAACUGGGGAAGUGCACCCGAAACUGAAUGGCUUGAGUGCGAAAGAGGGUCGCGGAAUUCCCGGUGUAGAGGUGAAAUUCGUAGAUAUCGGGAGGAACACCGGUGGCGAAGGCGGCGACCUGGGUCGACACUGACGCUGAGGCGCGAAAGCGUGGGGAGCAAACAGG
rnacentral:rRNA from 1 species